AACGAACGCUGGCGGCGCGCCUAACACAUGCAAGUCGAACGAGAAGGCGUAGCAAUACGCUUGUAGAGUGGCGAACGGGUGAGUAAUACGUGGGUGACCUACCCUCGAGUGGGGAAUAACCCGCCGAAAGGCGGGCUAAUGCCGCGUACGCUUCCGUCCUCACGGGGACGGAAGGAAAGCUGUACCGUGGGUACGGCGCUCAAGGAUGGGCUCACGUCCUAUCAGCUUGUUGGUAGGGAACGGCCUACCAAGGCUACGACGGGUAGCUGGUCUGAGAGGACGAUCAGCCACACUGGUACUGCGACACGGGCCAGACUCCUACGGGAGGCAGCAGUGAGGAAUAUUGCGCAAUGGGCGAAAGCCUGACGCAGCGACGCCGCGU
rnacentral:rRNA from 1 species